GACGAACGCUGGCGGCGUGCUUAACACAUGCAAGUCGAACGGAAAGGCCCUGCUUUUGUGGGGUGCUCGAGUGGCGAACGGGUGAGUAACACGGGAGUAACCUGCCCUGGACUUUGGGAUAACUUCAGGAAACUGGGGCUAAUACCGGAUAGGAGCUCCUGCUGCAUGGUGGGGGUUGGAAAUUUUCGGCGGUUGGGGAUGGACUCGCGGCUUAUCAGCUUGUGGGUGGGGUAGUGGCUUACCAAGGCUUUGACGGGUAGCCGGCCUGAGAGGGUGACCGGCCACAUUGGGACUGCGAUACGGCCCAGACUCCUACGGGAGGCAGCAGUGGGGAAUAUUGCACAAUGGGCGGAAGCCUGAUGCAGCAACGCCGCGUGCGGGAUGACGGCCUUCGGGUUGUAAUCCGCUUUCGCCUGUGACGAAGCGUGAGUGACGGUAAUGGGUAAAGAAGCACCGGCUAACUACGUG
rnacentral:rRNA from 1 species